rnacentral:rRNA from 1 species
GGAUGAACGCUGGCGGCGUGCCUAAUCCAUGCAAGUCGAGCGAACGGACGAGAAGCUUGCUUUUCUGAUGUUAGCGGCGGCCGGGUGAGUAACACGUGGAUAACCUACCUAUAAGACUGGGAUAACUUCGGGAAACCGGAGCUAAUACCGGAUAAUAUUUUGAACCGCAUGGUUCAAAAGUGAAAGACGGUCUUGCUGUCACUUAUAGAUGGAUCCGCGCUGCAUUAGCUAGUUGGUAAGGUAACGGCUUACCAAGGCAACGAUGCAUAGCCGACCUGAGAGGGUGAUCGGCCACACUGGAACUGAGACACGGUCCAGACUCCUACGGGAGGCAGCAGUAGGGAAUCUUCCGCAAUGGGCGAAAGCCUGACGGAGCAACGCCGCGUGAGUGAUGAAGGUCUUCGGAUCGUAAAACUCUGUUAUUAGGGAAGAACAUAUGUGUAAGUAACUGUGCACAUCUUGACGGUACCUAAUCAGAAAGCCACGGCUAACUACGUG